rnacentral:rRNA from 1 species
GAUAACCAGUCGAAAGAUUGGCUAAUACCGGAUAAGCCCACGGUUUCUUCGGAGACUGAGGGAAAAGGUGGCCUCUGUAUACAAGCUAUCACAACCAGAUGAGUCCGCGGCCCAUCAGCUAGUUGGCGGGGUAAUGGCCCACCAAGGCAACGACGGGUAGCUGGUCUGAGAGGACGAUCAGCCACACUGGAACUGAGACACGGUCCAGACUCCUACGGGAGGCAGCAGUGGGGAAUUUUGCGCAAUGGGCGAAAGCCUGACGCAGCAACGCCGCGUGUGUGAUGAAGGUCUUUGGAUUGUAAAGCACUUUCGACCGGGAAGAAAACCCGUUGGCUAACAUCCAACGGCUUGACGGUACCGGGAGAAGAAGCACCGGCUAACUCUGUGCCAGCAGCCGCGGUAAUACAGAGGGUGCAAGCGUUGUUCGGAAUUAUUGGGCGUAAAGCGCGUGUAGGCGGCGUGACAAGUCGGGUGUGAAAGCCCUCAGCUCAACUGAGGAAGUGCGCCCGAAACUGUCGUGCUUGAGNGCCGGAGAGGGUGGCGGAAUUCCCCAAGUAGAGGUGAAAUUCGUAGAUAUGGGGGAGGAACACCGGUGGCGAAGGCGGCCACCUGGACGGUAACUGACGCUGAGACGCGAAAGCGUGGGGAGCNAACAGGAUUAAAUACCCUGGUANNCCCCCCCGUAAACGAUGAAAACUAGGNGUCGUGGGANUUGACCCCCG